rnacentral:snRNA from 1 species
GAGAGUAGUACUAGGAUGGGUGA